rnacentral:lncRNA from 1 species
CGAGGAAGGGAUUUUCUUAGCUGAUAUUUGCUUCAUUUUCAGCGUUUCUCCAUCUGUUUUAAUUUCAGGUAUGUGAUAUAUGGUAUUGGUCACUUAUGGUUAAAAUAGUAACUUUUAAAGAUGGGAUGAAUAUAACAUCUAUAUUCUUAUUUGAGAGGCUGUUGGACAUCAUGCUCCAAGGCAGAGUUGAAGAAGCAACACCAAGCAGUGAUGCAGUUGUCACAGUGGAAGGAAAGAGCCUAAAACAAGUUCUCAUCCUACAGUUAUUCCUCCUGCUGUCAAACUGGUUUACUCUACAAUGACUCUUGAGGUUACUUUUCAUACAAGGAAAAAAACCCUAAGAUCUGUUUCCUAGCUUUCAUCCUUCAGAAACUGGUCACUACAAGCUCUCUGCUGAUUUCCCUCUGAGGUGGAGUAUUAGUGRUCCUGCCACCAAAGGACAAUCCAGCGUUUAGCCGUAAUACUUUGAUACUGCUCCUGCUGAGCCUAGCUGUAAAGGUUUCUGGUUUUACUGAUGCAGAAUCAGGCCCUUGGCUUUGUUUGCUGUUCAGGAUGAAUUCCCUGUGCAAAAUCACACUGGAAUGCAAAGUGAUGGCAGAGUGUAGCCUACUGCAGUACUUCUUGAGUAAUGAAUCUCAGGUGAAAAAAAGCAAUUGUACAUAUUUUUUGUGCUGUAAGUAUACAAGAUAAUUUUGGGAAAUGAAAUAUUAUGCAUAGGCCCUACUACCAUUUUUAGAAUCAAAACAACUUCAAAGACCAUCAAGUUCAUCCGCAAUGAUAAUAUUUAUUGUGGGUUUUCAAGGGAGGCCAUGAACAAUUGCUUUGAACUUUAAAAGC